GACAGAGGGGGCAAACGUUGUUCGGAAUUACUGGGCGUAAAGCGCGUGUAGGCGGCUCGGAAAGUCGGAUGUGAAAGCCCUGGGCUUAACCUAGGAAGUGCAUUCGAAACUCCCGAGCUUGAGUUCUGGAGAGGAAGGCGGAAUUCUCGGUGUAGAGGUGAAAUUCGUAGAUAUCGAGAGGAACACCGGUGGCGAAGGCGGCCUUCUGGACAGUGACUGACGCUGAGACGCGAAAGCGUGGGGAGCAAACAGG
rnacentral:rRNA from 1 species